GACGAACGCGGCGGCGUGCUUAACACAUGCAAGUCGAACGGAAGGAGAUGAAAGAGCUUGCUCUUUUAUUAAUUUCAGUGGCAAACGGGUGAGUAACACGUAAGCAACCUGCCUUAAGGAUGGGGAUAACAGACGGAAACGACUGCUAAUACCGAAUACGUUCUAAGCAUCGCAUGGUGCAUAGAAGAAAGGGUGGCCUCUACAAGAAAGCUAUCGCCUUAAGAGGGGUUUGCGACUGAUUAGGUAGUUGGUGAGGUAACGGCUCACCAAGCCGACGAUCAGUAGCCGGUCUGAGAGGAUGAACGGCCACACUGGAACUGAGACACGGUCCAGACUCCUACGGGAGGCAGCAGUGGGGAAUCUUCCGCAAUGGACGAAAGUCUGACGGAGCAACGCCGCGUGAACGAAGAAGGUCUUCGGAUUGUAAAGUUCUGUGAUUCGGGACGAAAGGGUUUGUGGUGAAUAAUCAUAGACAUUGACGGUACCGAAAAAGCAAGC
rnacentral:rRNA from 1 species